rnacentral:rRNA from 1 species
UACGGAGGGUGCAAGCGUUAUCCGGAUUCACUGGGUUUAAAGGGUGUGUAGGCGGAUUUUUAAGUCAGUGGUGAAAUCUCCGGGCUCAACCCGGAAACUGCCAUUGAUACUAUUAGUCUUGAAUUCUGUUGAGGUGGGCGGAAUACAUCAUGUAGCGGUGAAAUGCUUAGAUAUGAUGUAGAACACCGAUUGCGAAGGCAGCUCACUAAGCAGAACAUUGACGCUGAGGCACGAAAGCGUGGGGAUCAAACGGG